CAGGUUUCCUGUGGCAGUGUCAGCACGUCAGGUGACCAUCGAAUGCUCACUGGACUUCCUUUCAUUUGUGAGUUUAGGUUUGGAGAACUCCUCAGAGACUGGGAAGAUACACCGCUGUCCUCUGAUGAGAUAUUAUUUGAAGAAGAGGAAACAUCUCUGUGUGGAUAACUGAAAAGAUGUUGAAAUAAUCAGAUGAGAACAGAGCCUUUCAGACUUGCACACUCCUUCCCAGAAGUGUAGAAAUCCUAAAAGAAUACAAAACAGACCAAGCCCUCAGCAAAAACUCACUGCAGGUAAAGUGCACAAAGAUCCCCACUUAUGAAAGAUAUUCUGAAAUGUGAGAAAUUGAGUUUGAAAGACAUAUAUCCUGCUGACAGUGACAAACUUUCUGACCUGGACAAGAUUGGACACAGUGCUUUCUGAGAUGGAAAUCGGGAGAAGCUGAAUGAAAACUGUCACCUAUGUAAAUGGCCUGAAGAGAGCUUAGAGAUGAUCACUCUAUAAGAAACUAUCCCUGAUUGCAAUAAUUAUACAAAGAAAAACAUUCUUGGAUUUUAAUUGGAGACACUGGAAUAACUAACAAUUAUAUAUUUAAAAAUUUUGUUUUACAUAAUCAGACAAAUGUAAAUCAAAAUAACAAAGCACUGCGUAAUAUCCAUCAAAUUGGCAAAAGCUAAAGCUAGGUAUGUUACUUGUGCUGCUAGAACAAGAUACUAUUAUAGGCAGCUAAGUUAGAUAGAAAUUAAUAUUCAAUCAAAGAGGAACUGGGCCUUCAAGGAAUUCAGCACAAAAAAUAAGACAUGAGAAUUCUAAGCCGUGAGUGGAGGUGCACAGCUGUAAUCCCAGUGCUCGGGAGACUGAGGCAGGAGGAUCACUGCAAGUUUGAAGCCAACCUGCACUACGUAGUGAGUUCAGGGCCAACCUGAACUGCAUAGUGAGACUGUCUCAAAAAACAAGCAAACACGAAAGACAUCAGAAUUGUGGCUGGAGGUACACCUGAAGAAGGCCGGGCCUCAAGAUGAAGACACAGUGGCCAGGCCUGCAGGCCUCCUUGAGAGAUAAACAAUACUUUGUGAUUACACUGUAAUUAGCACCACCUGGUCCAUCUAGUCCAGAUGGGCAUCAGCAGCCCAGGUGGGUGACCAGAGCACCAGGACCCAGCCCAUCCCAAACUGCCUUUGCUCCUUCCGUGUACCCGGCUAUAGGACUUGGCUCCCUGUUGGAUCAUCAGCUAAGCAGCUGCACUUGUGGUCUCACAGGCUGAUGGAGGUUUGACCCACUGUGACUUUGCUGCUCUCCUCCUCACAUCCAGGACCCGUUCUUCUUCCCCUCAUUCCCAGUAAACCUCUAACUUCCUCCCUUGGUUCGCAGGUUCACUCCCCAGUGUUGUGGGACCGUGAAAUCGGCACAUUUGGCAUCUAACAGGUUGGGAAUUAGAUUUCUCCCAUAUCAAC
rnacentral:lncRNA from 1 species